rnacentral:rRNA from 1 species
AUUGAACGCUGGCGGAAUGCUUUACACAUGCAAGUCGACCGGCAGCACGGACUUCGGUCUGGUGGCGAGUGGCGAACGGGUGAGUAAUGUAUCGGAGCGUGCCCAGUCGUGGGGGAUAACGUAGUGAAAAUUACGCUAAUACCGCAUACGAUCUAUGGAUGAAAGCGGGGGAUCGCAAGACAUCGCGCGAUUGGAGCGGCCGAUAUCAGAUUAGGUAGUUUGUGGGGUAAAGGCCCACCAAGCCAACGAUCUGUAGCUGGUCUGAGAGGACGACCAGCCACACUGGAACUGAGACACGGUCCAGACUCCUACGGGAGGCAGCAGUGGGGAAUUUUGGACAAUGGGCGAAAGCCUGAUCCAGUCGUUCCGCGUGCAGGAUGAAGGCCCUCGGGUUGUAAACUGCUUUUGUACAGAACGAAAAGGUUUCUACUAAUACUAGGAGCUCAUGACGGUACUGUAAGAAUAAGCACCGGCUAACUACGUGCCAGCCGCCGCGGUAA